GGUUCUAUAGUGUAGUGAUUAGCACUCUGGACUUUGAAUCCAACGACACGGGUUCGAAUCCCGAUAGACUCU
rnacentral:tRNA from 1 species